rnacentral:rRNA from 1 species
UACAGAGGGUGCAAGCGUUGCUCGGAUUUACUGGGCGUAAAGCGUACGCAGACGGUUUGGUAGGUCGGAUGUGAAAGCCCCGGGCUCAACCCGGGAAUUGCAUCCGAAACCACCUCACUCGAGUGUGGGAGAGGGAAGCGGAAUUCCUGGUGUAGAGGUGAAAUUCGUAGAUAUUGGGAAGAACACCGGUGGCGAAGGCGGCGACCUGGUCCAUUACUGACGCUGAGGAGCGAAAGCGUGGGGAGCGAACAGG